GGCGAACGGGUGAGUAACACGUGAGUAACCCGCCCCCUUCUUCUGGAUAACCUCAUGAAAGUGGGGCUAAUACGGGAUAUUCUGGUCUGUGCGCAUGCAUGGGUUGGGAAAGGUAUUGUUCUGGGGGGGGAUGGGCUCGCGGCCUAUCAGCUUGUUGGGGGGGUGAUGGCCUACCAAGGGGGUGACGGGUAGCCGGCCUGAGAGGGUGGACGGCCACCCUGGGACUGAGACACGGCCCACACUCCUACGGGAGGCAGCAGUGGGGAAUAUUGCACAAUGGGCGCAAGCCUGAUGCCGCGACCCCGCGUGAGGGAUGGAGGCCUUCGGGUUGUGAACCUCUUUCGCCAGUGAAGCAGGCUCAUCUCUUUGUGGGUGGGUUGACGGUAGCUGGAUAAAAAGCGCCGGCUAACUACGUGCCAGCAGCCGCGGUAAUACGUAGGGCGCGAGCGUUGUCCGGAAUUAUUGGGCGUAAAGAGCUCGUANGCGGCUGGUCGCGUCUGUCGUGAAAUCCUCUGGCUUAACUGGGGGCUUGCGGUGGGUACCGGCCGGCUUGAGUGCGGUAGGGGAGACUGGUAUUCCUGGUGUAGCGGUGGAAUGCGCAUAUAUCAGGAAGAACACCGGUGGCGAGGCGGGUCUCUGGGCCGUUACUGACGCUGAAGAGCGAAAGUGUGGGGAGCGAACAAGAUUAGAUACCCUGGUAGUCCACCCCCGUAAACGUUGGGCACUAAGGUGGGGGGG
rnacentral:rRNA from 1 species